AUGUUUUAUUACGGGCUUGAUUUCCAUGAUCUAGCUUCGGACUCCUUUCUUCAUAUCACGACAUUUAUUGUCGUGUGUGAGGCCUUCCUCCGGGUUACCCCUCACUUUGGCUUGUGGCUCAAGACCUUUGAAGUAAAGCCGAAGAUGAUCGAGGGGCAACAUGCAGCGUGUGGAGGUGCCUCAAUAUGCAAGAUGACGGGAGCUCCAUGGCCCAAAGGUUCCAUUCCAGAGGUGUCUGAAUUGUGGCAACAAGAGUGGUUCUACAUCACGGCUCCUAGAAGUGCCAAGUGGGCGGCCGCCCCUGUUUUCCGCUCGGGCCCUCCACCACAACUAAUGUCAUGGAUCAGCAGAGGUCUGAGCUAG
rnacentral:rRNA from 1 species